rnacentral:rRNA from 1 species
CAGGACGAACGCUGGCGGCGUGCCUAAUACAUGCAAGUCGAACGGUCUUUCUAUGGAAGCUUGCUUCCACUGAGAAGAUAGUGGCGAACGGGUGAGUAACACGUGGGUAACCUGCCCAUAAGAGGGGGGAUAACAUCCGGAAACGGGUGCUAAUACCGCAUAGUUUUCUUGAUCGCAUGAUCGGGAAAGGAAAGACGGCCUUUGUGCUGUCGCUUACGGAUGGACCCGCGGCGUAUUAGUUAGUUGGUGAGGUAACGGCUCACCAAGACGAUGAUACGUAGCCGACCUGAGAGGGUGAUCGGCCACAUUGGGACUGAGACACGGCCCAAACUCCUACGGGAGGCAGCAGUAGGGAAUCUUCCGCAAUGGACGAAAGUCUGACGGAGCAACGCCGCGUGAGUGAAAGAAGGUUUUCGGAUCGUAAAACUCUGUUGUCAGAGAAGAACAAGUUGGAGAGUAACUGCUCCAGCCUUGACGGUAUCUGACCAGAAAGCCACGGCUAACUACGUGCCAGCCGCCGC